rnacentral:rRNA from 1 species
GUCGAACGAAGCGCUUGAGAACAUUCUUCGGAGGCGUUCUCUUGUGACUGAGUGGCGGACGGGUGAGUAACGCGUGGGUAACCUGCCCUAUACAGGGGGAUAACAGUUACAAAUGACUGCUAAUACCGCAUAAGCGCACAGGACCGCAUGGUUCGGUGUGAAAAACUGAGGUGGUAUAGGAUGGACCCGCGUCUGAUUAGCUUGUUGGUGGGGUAACGGCUCACCAAGGCGACGAUCAGUAGCCGGCCUGAGAGGGCGACCGGCCACAUUGGGACUGAGACACGGCCCAAACUCCUACGGGAGGCAGCAGUGGGGAAUAUUGCACAAUGGGGGAAACCCUGAUGCAGCGACGCCGCGUGAGUGAAGAAGUAUUUCGGUAUGUAAAGCUCUAUCAGCAGGGAAGAAAAUGACGGUACCUGACUAAGAAGCCCCGGCUAACUACGUGCCAGCAGCCGCGGUAAUACGUAGGGGGCAAGCGUUAUCCGGAUUUACUGGGUGUAAAGGGAGCGUAGGUGGCAUGGUAAGCCAGAAGUGAAAACCCGGGGCUCAACCCCGCGGAUUGCUUUUGGAACUAUCAGGCUGGAGUGCUGGAGGGGUAAGCGGAAUUCCUAGUGUAGCGGUGAAAUGCGUAGAUAUUAGGAGGAACACCGGUGGCGAAGGCGGCUUACUGGACAGAAACUGACACUGAGGCUCGAAAGCGUGGGGAGCCUUAUAAGAUUAGAUACCGUGGUAGUCCACGCCGUAAACGAAUGAAUACUAGGUGUCGGGGUACAAAGUACCUCGGUGCCGUCGCAAACGCAGUAAGUAUUCCACCUGGGGAGUACGUUCGCAAGAAUGAAACUCAAAGGAAUUGACGGGGACCCGCACAAGCGGUGGAGCAUGUGGUUUAAUUAGAAGCAACGCGAAGAACCUUACCAAGUCUUGACAUCCCUCUGAAUAACAGGUAAAAAAGUUAGGCCUUCGGGACAGAGGAGACAGGUGGUGCAUGGUUGUCGUCAGCUCGUGUCGUGAGAUGUUGGGUUAAGUCCCGCAACGAGCGCAACCCUUGUCCUUAGUAGCCAUCAGGUAAGGCUGGGCACUCUAUGGAGACUGCCGGGGAUAACCCGGAGGAAGGUGGGGAUGACGUCAAAUCAUCAUGCCCCUUAUGACUUGGGCUACACACGUGCUACAAUGGGAUAAACAAAGGGAGGCGAGAGGGCAACCUUAAGCAAAUCUCAAAAAUAACGUCUCAGUUCGGAUUG